CCUACGGGAGGCAGCAGUGAGGAAUAUUGGUCAAUGGGCGCGAGCCUGAACCAGCCAAGUCGCGUGAGGGAGGACGGCCCUACGGGUUGUAAACCUCUUUUGCCGGGGAGCAACGGGCGCCACGUGUGGCGCCACUGAGAGUACCCGGAGACAAAGCAUCGGCUAACUCCGUGCCAGCAGCCGCGGUAAUACGGAGGAUGCGAGCGUUAGCCGGAUUUAUUGGGUUUAAGGGGUGCGUAGGCGGAUCGUUAAGUCAGUGGUCAAAUUGAGGGGCUCAACCCCUUCCCGCCAUUGAAACUGGCGUUCUUGAGUGGAAGAGAAGUAUGCGGAAUGCGCGGUGUAGCGGUGAAAUGCAUAGAUAUCACGCAGAACCCCGAUUGCGAAGGCAGCAUGCCGGCUUCCGACUGACGCUGAAGCACGAAAGCGUGGGGAUCGAACAGGAUUAGAUACCCUUGUAGUC
rnacentral:rRNA from 1 species